rnacentral:pre_miRNA from 1 species
CGAGUUAAAACUCGAAAUCAAUCAAACUCGGUCAAACUCGUAAAAUCGAUCUAAUUUUACCGAUUUUAACUGAGUUUGACCGAGUUUGAUCGAUUUCGAGUUUUAACCUG